UGGGGCAGAUGACAUGCUCUACUUCACAAGGCACGAGCAAGCUCACCUAGCCUAGCGUGUGAAAACAGAGAAACAUCAUGGUUAUCAGCAACGCAGGAGAAAGAGCACGAAGUGAGAGGGCAAGAGAUGACGCUGGAACCCUGGCUCUGUGCCUAACUAGCUGUGUAACCCUUCGCUGCACCCAGAAACUGGAAAUACAGAAGGAUCUGACUCUGGAAGCUAAUGAGAACCGACCCAGGCAAUUCGCUAAAAAAGGCAGUGAGAACUUGGGCAAGACCUUCCCUGCCAGCCUCAGUUUACCAGGUGAAAAUGGGGCUGUGCUGAGCACCUUGUCUGUUUGACCAGCAUUGUGGACAGGUGCUGUGAGCACUGCGGGC